rnacentral:rRNA from 1 species
GGCUCAGAUUGAACGCUGGCGGCAGGCCUAACACAUGCAAGUCGAGCGGUAGAGAGGUGCUUGCAUCUCUUGAGAGCGGCGGACGGGUGAGUAAUGCCUAGGAAUCUGCCUAGUGGUGGGGGAUAACGUUCGGAAACGGACGCUAAUACCGCAUACGUCCUACGGGAGAAAGCGGGGGAUCUUCGGACCUCGCGCCAUUAGAUGAGCCUAGGUCGGAUUAGCUAGUUGGUGAGGUAAUGGCUCACCAAGGCGACGAUCCGUAACUGGUCUGAGAGGAUGAUCAGUCACACUGGAACUGAGACACGGUCCAGACUCCUACGGGAGGCAGCAGUGGGGAAUAUUGGACGAUGGGCGAAAGCCUGAUCCAGCCAUGCCGCGUGUGUGAAGAAGGUCUUCGGAUUGUAAAGCACUUUAAGUUGGGAGGAAGGGUAGUAACCUAAUACGUUGCUACUUUGACGUUACCGACAGAAUAAGCACCGGCUAACUUCGUG